AGAAAGACAGCUGUGCCCCAGGCGUUAAGAGCAACCAGUCCAGAUUGGUGCAAGUUAGAAGCCACAGGGAACAAACGAAAAAUCAAGACAUUAAGGGAAAAAGAUUUCUUACAAUCUCCAGCUACAACCUGCUUAGCUUGCUACUCAGUACGUGAAUUAGGAUGCAGGCAACACACCUCAGAAGGCAGGAAGAAAAAAGGCACAGCUGAUAAUCAAGUCGUUAGAGUCAACCAUCAUUACUAAAGCCAACUCUCCACCCAGCGCAUCUAAGCCUGUGCCUCUUCUUGCCACCCUAGCAUCUCCUAAGCCAGAUACAGCAAAUGAAUGCCGG
rnacentral:lncRNA from 10 species